rnacentral:rRNA from 1 species
GUUGUAGUCUGGAGAAGUGCUUUCCGUGCCGGACCGUGUAUAAGUCUCUUGGAAUAGAGCGUCAUAGAGGGUGAGAAUCCCGUCUUUGACACGGACUACCGGUGCUUUGUGAUGCGCUCUCAAAGAGUCGAGUUGUUUGGGAAUGCAGCUCAAAAUGGGKGGUAAAUUCCAUCUAAAGCUAAAUAUUGGCGAGAGACCGAUAGCGAACAAGUACCGUGAGGGAAAGAUGAAAAGCACUUUGGAAAGAGAGUUAAACAGUACGUGAAAUUGCUGAAAGGGAAACGCUUGAAGUCAGUCGCGUUGUGCAGAACUCAACCUAGCUUUUGCUUGGUGCACUUUCUGUAUGACGGGCCAGCAUCGAUUUUGACUGUCGGAAAAGGGUUGAAGGAAUGUGGCACCUCCGGGUGUGUUAUAGCCUUUGGUCGCAUACGGCAGUUGGGAUCGAGGAACGCAGCGUGCCGCAAGGUGGGGCUUCGGCCUACAUUCACGCUUAGGAUGCUGGCAUAAUGGCUUUAAACGACCCGUCUUGAAACACGGACCAAGGAGUCUAACAUGCCUGCGAGUGUUUGGGUGGAAAACCCGAGCGCGUAAUGAAAGUGAAAGUUGAGACCUCUGUCGUGGAGGGCAUCGACGCCCGGACCUGAAGUUUUCUGACGGAUCCGCGGUAGAGCAUGUAUGUUGGGACCCGAAAGAUGGUGAACUAUGCCUGAAUAGGGUGAAGCCAGAGGAAACUCUGGUG